rnacentral:rRNA from 1 species
GUCGUCAGCUCGUGUCGUGAGAUGUUGGUUAAGUCCCGCAACGAGCGCAACCCUCGACCUUAGUUGCCAGCAUUCAGUUGGGCACUCUAAGGUGACUAGCCGGCUAAAAGUCGGAGGAAGGUGGGGAUGACGUCAAGUCCUCACGGCCUUUAUGACCAGGGCUACACACGUACUACAAUGGCAGGUACAAAGGGCAGCCACUUAGCGAUAAGGCGCGAAUCCCAUAAAAACCUGUCUCAGUCCGGAUUGGAGUCUGCAACUCGACUCCAUGAAGUUGGAAUCGCUAGUAAUCGCAGAUCAGCACGCUGCGGUGAAUACGUUCCCGGGCCUU